UGGGGAAUAUUGCACAAUGGGCGCAAGCCUGAUGCAGCCAUGCCGCGUGUGUGAAGAAGGCCUCGGGUUGUAAAGCACUUUCAGCGAGGAGGAAGGUGGUGAACUUAAUACGUUCAUCAAUUGACGUUACUCGCAGAAGAAGCACCGGCUAACUCCGUGCCAGCAGCCGCGGUAAUACGGAGGGUGCAAGCGUUAAUCGGAAUUACUGGGCGUAAAGCGCACGCAGGCGGUUUGUUAAGUCAGAUGUGAAAUCCCCGGGCUCAACCUGGGAACUGCAUUUGAAAACUGGCAAGCUAGAGUCUCGUAGAGGGGGGUAGAAUUCCAGGUGUAGCGGUGAAAUGCGUAGAGAUCUGGAGGAAUACCGGUGGCGAAGGCGGCCCCCUGGACGAAGACUGACGCUCAGGUGCGAAAAGCGUGGGGAGCAAAACAGGAUUAGAUACCCUGGUAGUCCACGCUGUAAAACGAUGUCGAUUUUGGAGGUUGUGCCCUUGAGGCGUGGCUUCCGGAGCUAACGCGUUAAAUCGACCGCCUGGGGAGUACGGCCGCAAGGUUAAAAACUUAAAAGGAAUUGAC
rnacentral:rRNA from 1 species